ACAACCCAACAACCCAGGGGCACCGCACCAUGGACAGCGUUCCAGUAGAAACCACCGGCACCUUGGAGAGCGGCACGACAAGCCCGGAUCGAGGCCAUGAGGGGGAGGCCGCCACAGCAGGAGACAACGAGCAAAACAGUAAGGAGUGUGAGGUAGAGACGAGACCGGCCUGAACAGUCAAGACCAAGUGCUGUGCUGUUCGGUCCUGCCUACGGCCCUUGGUGGCUACAACUUUUAUACACAUUAAACCAAUAAAACAUGCUUCACAAGUUUAUAAGGUACAUUCAACAAUUUUGUUUAAUAAAGCAACAUCGUUUCAACAG